UUUAUCGUCAGCAAUAAACAAAACAAGCACAGAGCCAAUAUAAUAAGCGAUGAUGAGACGCCCCCCCCCCCCACAUACCCCUACGAAGACCUUCAUUUGCCCAUCCCAAAAUACUGCUCAAGAUUUUUCGUGGGCACCGUAUGUGAAUUGUGAAGUGCCAUUUUACUACUAGUAUUAGACAUGAUGAAGGUCACGCAGAAGAAACGUUGUGACUCAUGAGACAGAGCAGCGGUGGAGCUCGAGCAAAAACCAAGAGUAUUCCCAGCCAUGGUGCGCCUGGUCCCCGGCUCGCACGUCAAGGUCGGAUUUUGACCGGCGGAUCGCUAGUGGCACGGCGAGCUCGCUCAGCCCUGCUGGGUUGAAGAAUCAGAGGAGGAGAGGGAAAGCAACUGAACAGACCAGGGUAGAAGACGAGUUGGGUUUUGGCAGCAAGCAAGGGGUGGCGUGAUCGAGGACCCCGCUGGAACGUUGCCUGGGGAGAUCGGGGUUGCCGCUGCCUGCGAACAGGGGAAUUUUGGGUGCCGCGCGCGCGGCAAGAAGAGGGACCAAGUCACGAGAUUGUGAAUUCGACAAGGGGGUUUUCUGUGAAACAGGUACGGUGGGAUCAGUUCAGCUCGUUGGAUGUGGAUCGGACGAAUGGAAGAUGGCGUUUGCAAGGUUGCUCGUUGGAUGUGAAACAGGGUAUCCUUAUACUCCACAUCAGAAUUCAGAUAGCACACAUCAUACCUCAGCUAUUUUUGGCAACACCAUAACCAUUAACUCUCCAAAUUAGAUAAACAAGCAGCCUGGCAUCUUUCUUCCCCCUUUG